rnacentral:rRNA from 1 species
UACGAAGGGUGCAAGCGUUACUCGGAAUUACUGGGCGUAAAGCGUGCGUAGGUGGUUUGUUAAGUCUGAUGUGAAAGCCCUGGGCUCAACCUGGGAACUGCAUUGGAAACUGGCUGACUAGAGUGCGGUAGAGGGGUGUGGAAUUCCCGGUGUAGCAGUGAAAUGCGUAGAUAUCGGGAGGAACACCGGUGGCGAAGGCGGUUUUCUGGCCUUACCUGACGCUGAGACGCGAAAGCGUGGGGAGCGAACCGG